UUUUUUUUUUUUUUUUUUUUUUUUUUUUUUUUUUUUUUUUAAAAAAGGAAAAUUCAUAUUUCUAAAUGUUGC
rnacentral:ribozyme from 12 species